GGAGAGGUGGCCGAGUGGCUGAAGGCAACGGUUUGCUAAACCGUCGUACUGCUAAUUGGCGGUACCGCGGGUUCGAAUCCCGCCCUCUCCG
rnacentral:tRNA from 1 species